GCCUUCGUUGUGUAAUGGUCAGCACGCUCGACGUGUAUUCGAGAGGUCCGUGGUUCGAAUCCCGGCAAGGGUA
rnacentral:tRNA from 1 species